rnacentral:lncRNA from 1 species
AAUUAUUAGGCUUGAAUCAAGGAUUAAAUUAGAAGAAUUUCAUUUUCCGAGCCUAGGAUGAAAUUGUCAUAUAUUAAAAGUUUAGGGUCAAAUUGGUAAUCAACAUUUUACACUAAAACAGUUUUGGGCAGCAGCAGUGGUUUAAAUUUGAAAAAUCACCAAAAAUUGUGAGAAUCGAAUUAUAAGUUGAAUAAAAUAUGAAAUUAAAGCUUAUUAAGUCUAAUUUCUCAUAGAAGAAACGGUGUAAGCAAUGGAAUUGAAAAUCAUGAGAUAUAAUAAAUUUUGUGAGACAAUAUCAGAAUGAUU